AUUGAACGCUGGCGGCAUGCCUUACACAUGCAAGUCGAACGGCAGCGGGCCUUCGGGUGCCGGCGAGUGGCGAACGGGUGAGUAAUGCAUCGGAACGUGCCAUUGAGUGGGGGAUAACGUAGCGAAAGUUGCGCUAAUACCGCAUAUUCUGUGAGCAGGAAAGCAGGGGGACCGCAAGGCCUUGCGCUCUUUGAGCGGCCGAUGUCAGAUUAGCUAGUUGGUGAGGUAAAGGCUUACCAAGGCGACGAUCUGUAGCGGGUCUGAGAGGAUGAUCCGCCACACUGGAACUGAGACACGGUCCAGACUCCUACGGGAGGCAGCAGUGGGGAAUUUUGGACAAUGGGGGCAACCCUGAUCCAGCCAUGCCGCGUGAGUGAAGAAGGCCU
rnacentral:rRNA from 1 species